AUGCGUGUAUCUCGUGGUAAGGAGAAAGCAAUGGAUAUGAUUAGUGGAAAAUGGAAAGAUAGCUUCCAUCUUCUCUAUAGUUUCAAGGCUGAGGUGGAGAAGUGUUCUCCUGGUAGUGUAGUGGAAAUAGACAAAGAGACUGUGAAGUACUCAAUCAAAGGAAAAGUCAGGGAGAAGGAAUGCUUUAGGAGAGUGUUCGUUUCAUUCAAGGCAUGUUGGCAAGGGUUUUUAGAUGGGUGUCGACCAUACUUGGCCGUGGAUUCAACUGCACUAAACGGGAGAUUCAAAGGGCAGCUAGCUUCUGCUUGUGCCAUUGAUGGCCGUAAUUGGCUUUACCCGGUUGCCUACGGGGUGAUAGAGACAGAAUCAUCAGAUAGUUGGGCUUGGUUUCUUCAAAAUCUAUGUAAUCUUAUUGGGCAUCCUGAAGGACUAGUCAUACACACCGACGCUUGUAAAGGUUUAGAGACAUCAGUAGAACAAGUGUGGCCUGGAGUGGAGCAUAGGGAGUGUAUGAGGCAUCUUGUUGCAAAUUUUGGGAAAAAAUUCAAGGGCAAGGUCUAUGAUGAUAAUCUUUGGCAAGCAAGCUUGACUUACAGUUCUAGGAAGCACAAUUGGCAUAUGAAGCAGAUCCUUGCUAAGAAGAGUGUUCAAAAAUAUAUGGCUGAACACCACACAAAGAUAUGGUAUAGAAGCAAGUUCAAUGAAAUCUGCAAGGUUGACUACGUCAAUAACAACCUCGCAGAGUCAUUUAAUAGCAAAGUCAGGAAAAUUAAGGCUCUUCUUAUUGUUGACAUGUUGGACAAGAUUAGGCAGAUGAUAAUGGAGAAGUUUGAUUUGCGGAUGAGGAUAGCAUUAGAAAAAUGGCUUGGCCAUCUCAUAAUACCAAGUGUGAUAAAGGCACUACAUGCCAAAUCCAAAGGUAAACAAACAUCUUCUGCUCUUUCAACCGACUAA
rnacentral:rRNA from 1 species